rnacentral:rRNA from 1 species
GGGUUGUGAGGUUAAGCGACUAAGCGUACACGGUGGAUGCCCUGGCAGUCAGAGGCGAUGAAGGACGUGCUAAUCUGCGAUAAGCGUCGGURAGGUGAUAUGAACCRUUAUAACCGGCGAUUUCCGAAUGGGGAAACCCAGUGUGWUUCGWCACACUAUCAUUAACUGAAUCCAUAGGUUAAUGAGGCGAACCGGGGGAACUGAAACAUCUAAGUACCCCGAGGAAAAGA